rnacentral:rRNA from 1 species
UUACUGCUCAGUAACACGUGGCUAACCUGCCCUUGGGACGGAAACAUCCCCGGGAAACUGGGGCCAAUGUCCGAUAGGCGAAGACCUCUGGAAUGAGUCUUCACCCAAAAGACGUUUGGGGCAUGCUCCUAGACGUUGCCCAAGGAUGGGGCCGCGGCCGAUCAGGUUGUUGGUGAGGUAACGGCUCACCAAGCCUAUUACCGGUACGGGCCGUGGGAGCGGUAGCCCGGAGAUGGGCACUGAGACAAGGGCCCAGGCCCUACGGGGCGCAGCAGUCGCGAAAACUUCGCAAUAAGCGAAAGCUUGACGGGGCCAUCCCGAGUGCCAUCUGCUGAGGAUGGCUUUUACCUAGUAUAGAUAGCUGGGGGAAUGAGGAGAGGGCAAGUCUGGUGUCAGCCGCCGCGGUAAUACCAGCUCUCCGAGUUGUGGGGACAUUUAUUGGGCCUAAAGCAUCCGUAGCCGGCUGAACAAGUCCCCUGUUAAAUCCAACGACGAAUCGUUGGCCUGCGGGGGAUACUGUUCGGCUAGGGGGCGGGAGAGGCCGUCGGUAUUCUUGGGGUAGGGGUGAAAUCCUAUAAUCCCAGGAGGACCACCAGUGGCGAAGGCUGUCGGCUAGAACGCGCCCGACGGUGAGGGAUGAAAGCUGGGGGAGCGAACCGGAUUAGAUACCCGGGUAGUCCCAGCUGUAAACGAUGCAGGCUAGGUGUUAGGGCGGCUACGCGCCGCUCU